rnacentral:lncRNA from 1 species
CCCCCUAUAGGGUCCCAGAACCCCCCCCUAUAGGGCCCCAUAAAUACUGCCCCUAUAGGGCCCCGCAGCCCCUAUAGAGCCCCAUAAAUACCCUAUAGGGCCCCCGAGCCCCCUAUAUGGCCCUAUAGGCCCUAUAGCCCCUAUAGGGCCCCGUAAAUACUGCCCUAUAAAUACUGCCCCUAUAGGGCCCCCACAGCCCCCUAUAGGGCCCCAUAAAUACCCUAUAGGGCCCCCGAGCCCCCUAUAUGGCCCUAUAGGCCCUAUAGGGCCCCAUAAAUACUGACCCCAUAAAUACUGCCCCUAUAG